rnacentral:RNase_MRP_RNA from 1 species
GAGUUCCGACCAGUUCAACCAUCGGGGUCACAUACUGAGUCUCUAUGACUCUAUCACCCUGUGGAAAGUCCCCGGAGACAGGACGGAAAGCGUCGCAUCAUAGUGAUGAGGGCCGAGUCGGUGUCGUAGGGAAGGAUUUAACUAACCCGUGCGUCGCCGUACUCGUAGCGUUGCUCAGAGCACAGUGAAUGUUGCAAAUGGAAUUCGAUGUCCAUAACAAAAUGGGGCUUACUCGGACUGGAACU